GCUUCAGUAGUGUAGUGGUAGUGCGUUCGCUUCAUAAGGUCGCGAGUUCGAUCCUCGCCGGGAGCC
rnacentral:tRNA from 1 species